rnacentral:rRNA from 1 species
GACGUAGGAUGCGAGCGUUGUCCGGAAUUAUUGGGCGUAAAGAGUACGUAGGCGGUUCACUAAGUCUGGGGUUAAAGACCGAAGCUCAACUUCGGGGGUGCCCUGGAAACUGGUGAACUGGAGGACGGCAGAGGAAGGUGGAAUUCCCAGUGUAGCGGUGAAAUGCGUAGAUAUUGGGAGGAACACCGGUGGCGAAAGCGGCCUUCUGGGCCGUUCCUGACGCUGAGGUACGAAAGCCAGGGGAGCAAACGGG